rnacentral:lncRNA from 1 species
GGGACAGCCUGAAGACACUGAGAAAUAGCACCUGAGAAACUCUGCCUUCUGCAGGAGAAGGUCAAAGGGCUGAUUGUGGUCAGCCACAAUGCUGUCUGCUCUCAAUCAUGUCCCUCUGCCUGACGGGAAGCAAGACCAGACUGAAGGAUGUAUUUGAUCACCAAGAGUUAAUUAUUAAAGAGGGAAAGGAACAUUCAUUUCAAAAGCAGAUGGUUUUCAACGUUCACAGUAAGCUGGCAGCAAGGCAGUUUUCCUCCAGCUCUGUGGUCUUUUAUCAAUAUGCAGCUAAGUAUCAAGUGAAAAUAAAUAAUGGAAAGAACAUUGCAUUAAUUUUUUCCCCUCCAUGAGAGAAUAAUAUGGCCUUGUCUUACCAGUCACCAAAGGAAAGAAGACAAAGAGGUUAAAGUUUGGGGAUUCAUUUCUGGAUCUGCAUGCUUUACUGAUUUACAUGCCAUAGAGCGUCCACUCAUCAACUUACAGCUGUUUCUAUAAGGAAUAAUGUUAACUAGUAAACUAAAAAACAAAACAUUCACAUUGUGGUGGGUGGGGUGGGGGGGAGUAGCCAAGUGUUUAAUAAGUAUGCUACUCUUUGACUGCUGUAAGGGCUUAGGCUGAUAUAUUUUAAUGGGCAUCGGGUAAAACCAAAUUCAUUUCACUCUAUGUGAGUUUUGAGUCUUUCAGAGCUUCCACUUAAAAAUUCAUUAAGAAAUAACCACUCUAGGCAGAGCUCUGACCAGCUGGCAUGUUGGCUACCAACCCUUUUAGAAAGAGGAUUUAAGGGCUUUCAUAUGUUUGCAAACCAGUCACUCUUGGUAUGUAUGAACUGUCCUUCUCCUUCUAUCCCACCUUGUGUAUAAAAAUACCAGACUGUUAAUCCUAGAAAAUAUUUAGGCAUUUUGAACAGUUGCUUCUAAACUACUUUUACUGCAAAUAUUGCCUAAGCAAUUAAUACACCCAAUUUCUAAUGCAUUAUAUAGAAGUUAUCCACAGAAACCUCGUCCUGAAGAUAAUAGGAAGUGGGGAAAAUUAGACUUCGGAGAUGGUUAUAGAUGAGUAAGGUGAUGGGCCAUUCUUUCAUUCUCUUGAAAACAUUUAUCUAAGUUAAAGAUGUUAAAACUCUAGAAAUUCAUUUCUGAGUAACGUAACCUGCCAUGCACCAACUGAAAAUAUUUCUUCUAUAAGGCAGUAUUGCACUUAAGUGGAUAUUAAAGGUUCUUUGAAAUGUAGCAGCAUGGUUUGGUGUUACUAUAUGCUAUACUUUGAAUACUGAACACCUUCUGUAUGUAUAAAUAUGGAGAAAGUAUGAUGAUGGUACGUGGCAUGUCAAACUUAGUUUUCCAACUGAAA